GGUUCCGUAACUCAGUUGGUUAGAGUGCUACCUUGACAUGGUAGUGGUCGUUGGUUCAAGUCCAAUCGGAACCACCA
rnacentral:tRNA from 1 species